UGAAGCAUGGUGUAUCUAUCCAACUUCUUAAGUCUGCUUUAAUUCUCUCUAUAUUUGGUAGUUUUCAUUAAAUAUACACUAGACGUGUUUCAUUGAGGUUACUUUUAGGUAUUUUGUUACCACAAAUGGGAAUGCAAUUAUAGGCAAAGCAAGCAGAAACAUACGGCUUUGAUGAAAGCUCUAAUCUCAACACUGUCCAUAUAUAUUUGACCACAUCAUUAGACCUAUAAAAGUUUGCAUUCAGGCAAUACUCCAGAUUUUAUUUGAUCUCAUUUCUUGUUUUGAGCCAUCUGGCAAGUAUUCACAAUUAUUGAUGGCAAGAAUUUCUCAAACUGGAUCAAUAAAAUGUCUUCCUUCCUAAAUCCCAGUGGAAUACACUGAGGACUGUGGGGAAGUUGAUUUACUUAAAGAUUCCGACAGUUCUGUAGAGGAAGUAAGAAUGGAGGAACUAAAAGCUCUGUCACAGGCUCACUGUUCCAUCUACACUUUCCCUUCCUCAUCUCAUUCUCACCCUGAGCACCAACCACCAUAUGAUGUAGCUGCUGUCCAAAUAUAAAUUUCUAGUCCAGGUCCUCUGAUGAACCAUAGCAUAAAUAUAUCUUCACUCAGACAAGCUCAAUUUGUCCAAAACUGAAUUCAAAAUAAUUUUGCUCAAGUAGGUUACUUCUGCAUUCUAUAUGGGCAAUGGCACUACUAUCCCCGCAGCUGGUUAUGCCUAAAAGAGACUAUCUUAGUUUUUCGUUUCUUUUUAUUUCCCCUAGAGUGUAGUCUCCACGUCUCCUUAACAUCUCCUUAGUGCAGAACCUCCUCUGCCUCCUAUCUGCUACUGCCUUGGUUUAGGGCCCCGUUUUCCCUCUCCCAGGCCUGAGCAAUAGUUUCCCCACACUUCCUCCUCUAUAGUCAGCUACUCCCACCAUCUAUCCUUCCCACUUUAGACAAAGGGAACUUUCUAAGAAGCAAAUCAUUGUUGUUGACCUUUUCUCCCUUCCAAAAUACUUCAAUGGCUCAUUAUUAACUUAAGGAGAAAAAGUAUUCUAUUUACCUGGACAACUAUAUAAUAUCUUGCAUAUUACUCAUCCUGCUAAGUAACCCUUAGUUAAGUGAAAGCAUUUGCAUUGCUAAGGUAGUAACAGGAAACAGAGUGAAAGAAAAUAGUCUGCCGAGCCUGGUGGCUCAUGCCUGUAAUCCCAGCACUUUGGGAGGCUGAGGCAGGUGGAUCACAAGGUCAAGAGAUCGAGACCAUCCUGGCCAACAUGGUGAAACCCCAUCUCUACUGAAAAUACAAAAAUUAGCUGCAAGUGGUGCGGGCACUACUCGGGAAGCUGAGGCAGGAGAAUAGUUUGAAUCCAGGAGGCGGAGACUGCAGUGAGCCAAGAUGGCGCCACUGCACUCCAGCCUGGCGACAGAACGAGACUCCAUCUCAAACAAAACAAAACAAAACAAAACAAACAAAUAAAAUAGUCAAUAAUCAGGCAUUGAACAUUCAGCUAGGAAACCUGAGGGAAUCAGCACAGUUUAUACCAGAAUCCAGCUCCCACUCCGGGAGAGAUAAGAAGAAGACUACUACUGAGGCUUAGGACAGUGUAGAGGAAUGAGGAAAAGCGACCUAAAAUUUUCGUGUCUGGGAGAAGAGGGAAUGAGCAGUGGCUGAGGGGAGCAGGAGGUCAGCAUGGAGAGAAAUAAGGAGACAGUUUUGGUGGCCAGCCCAGGGGCUGUGUGAAAUCAUUGAAUGGGAGUCUCACCAAUGGCAGAAGCCAAGCCAAUGCCUGAUUUUUGUGCUUACCUUCAAACUGCCUGUUCCUCUUCUUCCUGUCUUCAGUGGUUUUCCAUCAACAGCAUGCCAUUUGUGGUUCAUUCCGAAAAAUGGCAUUCUGGCCCCAUGACUUUGCUUACUUUUUAUACAGGCCACUUGGCAUGGCCAUUCUCCAGUCCCCUUUAAUGGUCCAAAACAUUUAGAAGACUAAGAAACAGAGAGUGAAGUGAAAUUAAGUCCUGAAAGAGCCUUGUGUAUCAGGGAAAUCCUCAGCGCUCCUACUUGGAGGGACGGCACUGCGAUUAAAGCACUUCAGUGACAUGUGCAUACACUUAGCUCUCCAAUGUGACCUGUUCCUGUGGCCUCCCUUGCUUCAACCUAGUCACCUGUUCUAGUUACCCGUAGAUACACCAGGUGGUGGGAAACUUUGACAACUUCACCAACACUCUUCCUUCUACUGAGAAACUCCCUUCCCUAUCCCACAUAAUUUUCCAGUGCACACGUUAAUCUUGCAAGAUCAUAUCUUUUUAAAAAGUGUCUGUCUCUUACCUUGUCAUACACAUGUAAAUAAAAAGGUGCAACAAAGUUUUUGGGUAUUGACCCUCCCCACCAUUCCACCCACCCACCUCCACUCACCUGUGGCUCCAGCCUCCGGAGCUUAUCCAUCUCUCUAUUACAACAAGUACUCCUUCAAGCAAAUGUUGAAUAAAUGAAUGAAAGGACAAACAAAUAAAUCUGUUCUGUCAAUCCUUAAUAGCCAGCUGAAGGCUUAAAUCAGAGAACUUAAAUUGCCCCUGAAAUAAUCACUGCAAUCUGUACUACUCUUCAGACAAUUCCCUAUUUCUGUCAACCUACCCCUAACUCAAUAUUUAACUGAUUUCUAACUUUGUGUCUCAACUACGUGAUGCUUUCCAAAACUAGAAUUACCUUGGCAGCCAGGUUUAUAGACUUCAAAGAAACCUGAUGCUGCUAUGGAUGGAAAUAGGGGGCAAGCUGGUUUGUGUGGUGAGUGCCAAGGUUAAGUAAAUAGACAUAGUGGAGCCAAACAUUCACCUGCAUUUCAAUAGGAUCAGAUUUACACACACACACACACACACACACACACACACACUCUUAAAGUUAGCGAUUUAUGCUAUGAGAAUGAGAAUAUUUUAGACUUGAGGAAACUCAAAUUUAAUAAAACCUGUAAGAUGGCUGGCUAUGACUUUAUGUAAGCUGAAUAAACAUAUCUUCAUUCAGACUGAUACUUCUGCCUUUCUUCUUUGAGUCUCUAAUCAUCCAAAGCCAACUUUUCAGUUCCUGAACACUACAAAUUAUCUUCUAUGAAAGUCAUUGUUUUGUCUAUGAAGCUUAUCAUAACUUCAGGGAAUUUCACAUUUGCAUUUCUGAUGGACUACAGUCUAAGGUGUUAGAAAAUUGGUUUCAGCUUUCCCCACCUUUUUUUUUUCCACUGUGAAGCAGCUCAUUACAAAAUAGACACAUUUCUAAAUCAAAUACUUGAGUUAUUAUUGAUGCAUGUAGAGAAUAGAGAUGAUUUGGUUAAGAAAUGCCUAAAAGUUACUUUCUUGUUCCCAUGAUUUUCUAGUUGAUUGAAUGAUUUAUAUGCUCAAUUCCAAAUUUAAAUGUAUGGUUUUUAAUCAUCAUGAUAUAGUUAGUGGAAGGCUUUUAACCUUUACAUUUAAGAAGCCCUUAGUACAACUCAAGCUUAUUGACUUCUAAAGCUUAACAUACACUAUUUUUAAAUGAUUCAAGUCUAUACAUUUUAUAGGUCUAUAGUUUGAGCAAUAGUAGAAGAAUGUUUAAAGAGCCACUUGUUUUCCAAUUACUGUAGUCAUGGCUCCAAGAUAGGCAUGAAUCCCCACCCUAAAAACAAAACAUGAAAAAUUGGCAUACUUUGAGUAGACUACCUCUGUAAAGUAUUAAAAUCUCCAAACCCAAAGCGACUCUAAGACUCAGUGUAAUUCAUUUAUUCGAUGGCACUAUAAUGGGAUUUCUUGCACAAUGAGAAGCAAGCAAAUAUUAUCUUCUUUAAGUUCUUAAAUGUUUUAUUUAGUAUCCCUAAAUUAGGAAGGGAAACUAAACAUUCACAUAAUCAAAUAUAUAGGAGGGAUCUGUAUAUUCUGUAUUUUUUGAAGUUUUUUUCUACUGGAAGAUAGCAUCUCAUUUUGCUGUGACGGGCAUUAAGACUGUGAUUUUGAGAUAUGGUCAACCAAAACUUCAUGCAACUAAUUCCAGGGUUUAUAGCAGAAAAGAAAUUGUUGUGUACCUCUCAUUACAACUCUUAACUAUUUUUAAGGUAGCUUAUAUGGUUGACUUAGGGAAAAGGAUGAAGAUCCAGAAGAAAAAUAGUGAGACUUCAGGUGAUAGAGAAAAAGAGUUACAAAAUGUUCUAAAAGGAUAAAGCCCAAAGGCUGUAGAGCAACACAGUAAUAUUAAAUCCUGGAUUAAAGUGAAAUGAUUUAGGAGACUUUAUAAGACAUAUCUGCAAAGCAAUGCCUUUAGAAAUAUUUAUUUAGUGAGCCUAAUUAUGUAAAAUAGCGAGAAUUGGUGACAAAGUACAAUAUUGUCUCUUCAGAUAUAUAUUUAACAAAAUUAGGGAGUUUUGAGUUCGAGCAUUUAUCAUCCUACUAAAGCCUUUAGCACAUAGUUAAUUCCAUGGCAUGUAUUAUCCUGUCUUCCAGAGACAAGUACAAUGGGAUUAAGGAGGAUGAAUGGACUGUCUCACUUAGCCUGGGAGAUUCAGGUGAAGUUUGUGCACAGACUUGAAAGAAAUGCAGAAUUUCCUAGGGUAGGCAGGAGAUGGGGCUUGCGGUGAGGGAAGUAAAUUUCGAAAAAAUAUCAUGUGCAAAAAAGGUACACUGGUAUGAGACAGCAUGGUGUCUUUAAAAACUGUAGAGCAGUAUUCCGAUAGCAUUUAGUUUAACUCCAUCAUUAUAUUUUUAAGCUAUUUUUUGUACUAUACUUCUAAAACAUGUUUCUAUCCUAAGCAAACUUACACAAACACCAUAAUGAGGCAAAAUUUGGCACUAAAGUAUAAGCCAUAACAUUACAAAGGCAACGCAUACAGGAGAUUUGAUAUAAGAGUGUUUUGUACAUAUUUCAAUUAUUAGCACAGGGUUAGAUGUAAUUCAUCACUCAAAACUGAUUGUUUUACUUGUACAGAAGCCAGUAUGACUGAAGCUCUCUUUUCAGUCAAUUAAUGUCCACUUGCCUGCCAGUUUUUACCAUACAUACCUGUGCCCUCCAUGAAGCUAAUUCCCCAACUGUUUAGGAAAUUCAAAUGGAACUCCUAAAUAGUUCACACACAGCUUUUGUUAAUAAAUUACCCAACAUAUUUCAACCAGGUCAGGCUUCACAGCUAUACAUUUUUUAAAAAGUGUAAAUUAACUCUUGACAAGGGGAAUUCAAAACCAUUCAAAGGCAAAGCCUGUGAAUGAGACAAAGGAUGAAAGGAAAAUAGAUGAAGUAAUGCAAUAGCCAGCUGAGGAGGAAAGGAUGCCAAGUAGCUGUGAUACAACAGCAUGAAGCAAAGUGACUUCAUUAAUACUCUGCAAAGUACCAGAAUGCUGCACAAGACAACACUUCGUUUCCAAACCAAACACAACCAGAGUUUACCACUAUUGAUUUUAAGUAGCAGCUGCCUAAUUGAUAGAAAGCAGAUACUUGAGCAGCUGUUGAGAUAUGCAAAUGCAAAUAAGCAUUGUCACAAAUAUAUCUGUAUCACAGCGAGUAUGGCUUUUGGUUUAGUUAGUUACACAAUGAUUGUGAUAUUUAGCCAUCAGAGUAAUUGAACUUUAUAAAGUAAUCAGCAGUAGCAAACAGGUAUAUAAAUAGCAGUUACUUAGAUGAUAGUCAAAUCACAAUUAAAAAAUAUAUAAAGAACUUUAUUACUGUGCUUUUAUUUCCUAAUUUUAAAAACAUUUUAAUCUAUUCCAACAAUAAUUUACUUUAAAAUGAUAAUCUUUGUCACAAGAAUAUUUAUUCUAUGAAUAUUUACUCAGCAUCUUCCACGUUAAGUGUUUAUGAUGCAAAAAACAAAAAUUUUCCUACAGUUAUUUCUGUGUUGCUGACGUUAAAAGAAUUCAUAGAAUAAACAGCUUAGGGAAAAAUGAUAAAUGUGUAAUCACACAACUCCUUAGCAUUGUUAAAUAUGUAUCUGAAGAGACCAUAUUAUAUUAUUCAACUCCCUCAAAUUUCACAAUCUAAAAUAGUGAUAUAUUUUGGCUGGUGAAAAUUUUAGACUUGACAUUCUACUGUGGAUUAUCAAUUUCAAAGAAUUACAUUGCCAAGAAUAUGCUACAAAUAAUGUUCAUGUUAUACUGAACCUAAUCUAGUUUUGCCUCCACAAGUUCAGAAGAUACUUCCAAUCCUUUGUCAGCAAAAGCAUCCAUUUUAAUUGAGCAUUGUGUUCCAUUUACUGUAUAUUUAAGUUGUUGUUAUUACACAGCAGGAACUGUACUAGGAGAAGGAGCCAGAAAGGUGGUGACAUACUUUUCCUUUCAUGGGGAAACAGUCUAAUGGAGAGAAGGACAAGUAAGAAACCACAAAGUGUAUUUUGGUAAGUGUUUUGAGAGCAGCUCUAGAGGCUCAAAGGAGGAGUUGUUGGUUGGGUCCCCUGAGAAAGCAGGCCUUGAAAUAAGGACUUGAAUAGAAUUAGUUUAUUUGGGAAAUGAUUACAGGGAACAGAAGUAGGGAGCGAGGAAGCAAGACAGGAAAGAGAUAGAGUCAAUUAAAGGUGCGUUGUCCAGCAAGUUCCCACCUGGCUGGCUGAAGCCUAAUCCAACUGGGGAAGUUUGGGAAAUGGUGUAAGACACAGUCUCAAAUUUAUCACACCUAAGGGAGAGGGAUUUGGAGUAUUUAUAACUGCCAGCAGUCCUUGGUUGCAGUCUAUUCAGAAAGGUAUUAAUUCUCUUACGCUUAUGAUUUGCAAAGGAAAAGAAAGUCCUCAGACCAAAACAAUAACAGCAACAACCAAAAACUGUUUUCAUUUGGAAGGAGGACCAAAAGGAAGGAAUAAGGGUCAGGCACUGACUCUACAGGUACUCACUGAUCUCUUUGUUAUGACUAUGGAGUUUUCUUUACUUUAUUCCCACAUUUUUUCACUGCACUGGGACCUGCAUUUUUUUUUCUGUUUUGUCAUUUGUCACGUUUGACUUUCUACUUUUCCUUAGUUAGGUCGUGAGACCAAUCACAGAAAUUAUUUAUUUAUACAUUUUCAAAAUGUCUUUUCCUCUCCUACCCUUUUUCAUGCUAUUUCAAAAAUUACACCACUGGAUACAUUUAAAUGUUCUUCCUGUUUUGCAUCUAAACCCAGCAGUGAACUAUCACUAGAGAAAAACACCUGACUUCAGUGAACACCUGGUCUCAGAUAAAUUCAUGACCACAGACCUCAAGUAGGUGCUGAGCACAGCCCCGCCAUCCUCUUGCUACCCCCAUCCUCCACUCCCAAACUUGACUAUUUCAUAAUGGCUCCAUGGUCAAAGUUUGAUAACCAUGCCUCAGCUGAUAGUCUUGCCUCCUAUUUCACUGAGGAAAUGGAUGCUGUCAUAAAACAAAAUACUUCAUUUUAUCACUAACAAUUCUACCUAAUUAUCAUUAUCUAUGCCCAUGAACUCCAUUUUCCACCUGUUACAACUGAUGAACUUUAUUGCUAUGGCCAAAACUUCCAAUGAUACACUGGAUCUCAUCCCUUUUUUUGUCAACUCAAGAACUUUAUUCCUACAGUUAUCCAUCUUUCCUAAAACAUAUAUCUCUAUAUCUGUAGGAUUAGUUUCAUCAGCAUUUGAACAUACUCUAGGAAGUACCACAGUAAUGUGAGCUUUAGUAAUUAAAUACCAAACUAAAUAGCAUUUCUAAGCCUCAGUUACUUCAUCUAUCAUAAAGAAUAAUAAAAUCUACCUUUUUGGAUUAUUGUUAGCAUUAAAUAAAAUGAAGCAUAAAAAGCUCCCAAAAUAUAUGACAUUGGUUAAUAAUUUAUUAAUAUUCUAUUACAUAGCUAAAUAUAACAAAGCUAAAAUAUUGUCUUCUCUCAAGCAUAUCUUGAUUUGUACAUUCAUUCUGGAACAGAUACUCAGACUCAAAGCUCACUGGAGAGCAGAAUGAGUAUUCCAAAAAUGGCCAUCAUAUGUCUGGACCUAUAUUCUCUUCUAGAACAUUGCCCCUACUCCAUCAAGAAGUUGAGUGUAUGUACUUCUCUCUGAACCUGGUUGCUCAGCCUUGGGAACGUGACUCACGGUGGUGUGAGGACAAAGCAGGUACCUGUCCGCCAGCCAGAUUAGCUGAGGAAAAUACACUUCAGACUCAACGUAACCAAUACCUGCCUUUCAAGGAAAACUCAUAUGGGGCUCACUGAUGAAACAAAGCGAGUUUGCAAAAAAAGAUUCGACAUAGUCAAUUCUUUGUACUCUUCAGUGAUGGUAGCUGCCUUAGUGGAAAAUGUGGGAAAUUACAGAUUGGGGCCUCAUCAGUUACAUAAAAAAAGAAAGAAGAGAGGAGACGAGAGAAGAAAAGAGAAGAGAAGACAAGAGAAGAGAAGAGAAAGGAAAAGAAAAGAAAACAAAAGAAAGGAAAUUACCACGAAACCAGUCCUGGAAAAUGUAAAAUGUUACUUGCAUCAUCAUGUGAAAAAGCUCAAAAGAUGGAAAAAUAUUUUCUAAGUACAUUUAUUUGGACAUAACGUAAGUAUCUUCCAACAUAUUUUAGAGAAUGGAAGAUGUGGUGAGUUGAAAAGAUGAGUUUACCGUAGGAAUUUAACUAGGUAUCAGCUCUACAUAUGCUUUAUGGUCACAAGUUGCCACUUAUAAAACAUUUAUAUACUCUUAUGCAUAUCAUAUAACUGAACAUGAAUGUUAGCAUGUAAGUAUAUGUAUCUGAUGAAAAUGCCAGAGUUAUAAAAUCUUUUUUAUGUUUUUUUAAUCACAAAAAUAUCAAAAUGCACCUUGGUUUUAGGGAAUAAUUUUCUAUCACUAGUCCUGAGAACCUCUAAAAUUAUGGAACAAUCAUUCCAGACUCUCAAUACCAUUAAGUUCAAUGAACUAUAAACUCCAGGGCAAAGAACACAGCUUUUUUGAUCAACAAUGUAUACUUAACGUCCAAGCUUAAUGACUGAAGAAAGUAAACUCCCUAAAAACAUAGGUUUUUUUUAAUGAAUCAAAAGAAAAGGAAAAAGAAAAAGAUAUUUAGAAAGGACCCAUAGUUUGUCAUCUGAAUGCAGCAGACAUUUAAAAUGGACUCUAUCUUUUCAAGAAUAUGAAUGACCCCUUUCAAGGGGUUCCCCCACCUUUCAUUGCCUCCCUCAGCAGAGGGGUUGCUGGAUGCCAUUACUCAAGGAAACAGUUUUGAUUCCUUCCUGAUCGCCUAUUAUCUCUCUUGUUUUAUUGAACCAGGGUCUCUCUGCACCCUGGCAGAAGCUGGCAAUUCAUCAGGAUACCAUUUAGGGAAUCACUGUGAUGCUUAGUUUACAGUCCACAAGGCAGCUACUGGGAGAAUCUGGAUCAAUGUGUUUUAUGCCUCUGAAAUUUGGGCAGCAAAGAAAGAGUGCUUCAGUUAUAAACAUGCAAUGUCCAUAGUUCUCAUCAUCCUUCUGAACAAGCAGAAGCUCCCCUUUUCUGAACCCAAAUGGAGCAAUCCAAUUACAAAGUCAUUAAACCCCGUUAUAAGGUGGUUCAUAGGAGUUCCUGUUUCCAGCAAAAGCCUUUUCUGUGUUCAUCCAACAUAUAUUCUGGCCUCUUGCACUCAGUUUACAAGGUUUCUAAUUAAGCUCCAGAGAGGAUGAUAUAGUUCACUGAACUGAGUCACUAUGCUACAACUGGGAAAGAAGAGGCAUUCCUAUUUUAUCAGAAAAAUAAACACUUUAGUUUCAUUUCUUCUGCCACACAUGUUAUCUCUUUGUGCUGUCACAACAUUUUUUAUAGGUUUUUAUUUCAAAGGACUACCUUGAGAUUACUGUCAACGCAAGCCAGAGAGACAUCUCCAUACAGAAUACAGGGGUAAUAUUUUUUCUCCUAAAACAUCCUGCUACAGACAAUAUAAUAUCAUAUAAUAUCACCGAAAUAAUCUCCCCUAUUAAGAGCAAAGAGACAGUUUUCAAUAGUACUUUGGUCCAAAAUUUGAGGAAAAUAAAAUGUUUAUCAGUGACAAAAAUACAAUUUACCAGCUUGAUUUUUAAGUCAAAAAUUUAACCUUUUAAACGAUUUCAGAAGCUCCGCUAAUUUCUACUGUUCCUUGUAACAUCUGUAGGCAAAAUACAACAUGCUGGGUCAUAAUUCAUAGCUUGGCAAGAAAAUGUUGCUUAAAAACAUAAAGGUCCUUUUCUUUUUAUGCAAGAGGAAAACAUUUUAGUUAUUAUUCAACUCAAGUAAAUGCUCAUAACCAUGGAAUUAAGUAUUUCUGAAGGGUUCAUUCCUGAGCUUUCUGGGUUGAAUUAGGCUUUCUCAGAACUAUACUUCAUGUCACCCACAUGUCUUAAGAACUGGUGCCUUCUGCUCAGCUGUGCAUUUUUUUGCAGACAUGCCGGAUAUCUACGCAGUAAGUGCUCUGAAACUUCAAAGAGACAUAGAGCAUUCUGUGCUUUCUCUUCCCACCAUUCCAUGUAAACACCAUGAAUAACCAGACCAUUCUUAUGCCAAAAGGCCCUGAUGGCUUGACUUUUUGGUCUGUUAAUUGUUCACAAUCACUCCUUGCCUGUAUUGUGCUUGGUAGGACCACCUUUCUGCAGCCAAAAUCCAGCCACUUACCACUGCAUAUACUUCCUACAGCAGAAUAGAUACUGACCAAAGCCUAGUAGAAACCUGCAUGGCAUCCUGUCUCUUAAUACUUAAUGCUACCAUGCCCUCAGAGUAUUCUUAUUCAGAAUCUAAACAAGCAUGUAUUCAGAGGCUACAAUGUAUCAGGCAUUGGUGGUGUUAGCAGUCAUAGUUCAGUGAAUGGGAAGAAAGAUAAAAAUCCAUGCCUCCCAGUGACUUUAAGUCCUGGUAGGGACAAAUACAGAAGAUGAGUAAAUAAACAAGAUAACUGUAGAUAGUAAUAGGCUCUGUAGGCAAUAAACCUCAGGAUAAUGUGAUAGAGAAUGACUUGGGGAUUGGUAAUAGCCAGAUGGGGAGCUGGAACACCGUCCAGGGCAGAUGGCAUUUGAACUGAAACCGGAAGGAAAAAAGAAUCUGGACAGCCUCAACACCAGAUCAAACAGUUUUUGAAACAUAGAAAACAAGAACAAAGCCCCCAGUGGGUGAGAGGAACUGAAGAAGCCUAGUAGCAUGGAAGUAUAAUGAUACUCAUACACUGGAGAAUAUUGCUAAGCGCAAACAAUUCUAAGCUUGUGAAAGUUCCUUGUGAUUAUUCUAUAUUUCUUUGAAUCAUAUUGAUGAAAAAUUCGUUGUAAUAAUUCCCAUCCAAAUGUGACUUCUUGGGUGCAAACAUAAUUUUCACAACUUAUUUAAAAGCCUAUUUAACUUUGCCUAUAGCAUGCUUCACAGAAAUAGUAACACCCAUCUUACAGGACUUUCAUGAAGACUACUAUGUACGGCAGUCCUCACUUUUUUCCUGCUCAAAAUCCUGUCUCCCUUUCCUUUUAAAAGAACACAGACUUUGUUCGUGACCAUAAUGUGUUCUCCUUAAAACUACAUGCAUGCAUGCAUUCCUACACAUAUACCCACAACCUCACCACUGCUUGCAGCUAGAGAGUUGGUAAGUAUGGCACACGUAGCACAGAGAUACUAAUGAGAUUUGAAUAGAAAAUAGAUCUUAAACUCACCCAUUGUAUUUCCCUUUACUGUUCCCUGUCUGGAAAAUGAAUGUGAUGCUAAAAGAAAGGCAGCCUUCUGUGACCCUGAGGUAGCUAUGAGAAGUUGCAUAUUUGGAAUAGUUGAAUGGACAGCUUACAGGAGCUGUAUUCUACAUAGAUACAUAGUUGUAUGUAGCCAAAUGCAGAAUUAUAUGUAAAGUGCCACAAAACAAAUGUAAGGUAAAUAGUAGUGUAAGGCCUUCAUUAUCAUUUAUAUUACUGGUGGGUUUUAAUGAAGCAUUGAAUUUAUUUACAGAAAAGGAUGCUAAGUUGAGAUAUUUUAAAGUCAAGCUAUAUAAGAAUUUGAAGGGAUAUUUAAUAUAAUAUCUCCUUUUCCAGCAGCCAUCAAUCUCAGCAAACUCACACAGGACCAGAAAACCAAACACUGCAUGUUCUCACUCAUAAGUGGGAGUUGAACAAUGAGAACACAUGGACACAGGGAAGGGAACAUCACACAGCGGGGACCGUUGCAGGGUGUGGGGGCAAGGGGAGGGAAAGCAUUAGGACAAAUAUCUAAUGCAUGUGGGGCUUAAAACCUAGAUGACAGAUUCAUAGGUGAAGCAAACCACUAUGGCACAAGUAUACCUAUGUAACAAACCUGCACGUUCUGCAUAUGUAUCCCAGAACUUAAAGUAAAAUUUAAAAAAUAAAUAAAUAAAAAUAAAAUAAAUUUAAAAAAAAUCUUUUUAAAAAGUAACACACCUAGUAGCUAUUUACUUCCAUAACUAUUGUAUUUUCUUGCCAUGCCAAAAUAUCUGGCAUUGUAAGAAUGCACAAUUAAAUAUCAUUCAUUUACUGACCUAGUAUAUUGCCAGCAAAGAACAUGAAGACAUAUUCUGCUAUUGUUUUUCUUUCUACCAUUGAUGGUGGCACCAGGCAUUUCUCCUAUAUUCCAAAUAAAUAAUAGAAAAUACCUUUGCAGCCAUAUGAGCAUUUGGAAAUUAUCCUAGCAAUCUGGCAAGAGCAAGGAGGUUGACCCGGCCUGCAAUGAUAAGAACUUAGGGGCUCCUUGUGGCCUAAACUUGAAGCAGGACAAUUCUGAGAUCAACGUUAUCACUGUCAAUGAGAUAGAAGUCUUCUACACAAACAAAUGUCUGCUGCUCAAAGGCCUAGUCAGUGUACACCAUCUCCCAUAAGAAACUUCCCACAAGAAUCUUUAGUAAACAACUAAACAGCACUAUCCACAAUAAGCAAUUGUUAUUUAUUAAUGACCUAUUAUUUCACCAAACUUAUAGUAUUAAAAUUGUAAUUAGUAGUUGCUAUCCAUUAAGUACCUAUGAGCCUAGCACCAUACAAUACAGUAUACAUUGUCCUUAAUCUUCAUAUUACUUAAUAAUAUGAUUAAUAAUCCCCAAAAUAUGUAAAAUUAAUUGAAUUAGCAUACAUAGGAAAAAUUCAAAUGCAUUCUAAAAUUUCUUUAUUAAAAUAAGCUAGAUAACUAUGUGGUCAAAAUGCUGUCAUCUAUUACCUACGUUGACUUAUUGAUGAAUGUGUGUAGAUACUUUGUCACUGGGUCACUUAUGUCUUCAGGCUGCUUAUCCAUGUCUGCAGAAUUUUGCACAGAGUUCUUCCAGGAACCGCCAGGCUUUCUCAGGAUAAGAUAUAUCAGAUGCAUUCAGUGUGAUCAGACACAUUGGGGUACAUUUCACCCAGAGGUGUACCUGCUGUUUGUAAUGCUGCUCAGGAUUUGUGCCUACAAACAUGGGAAUUCUGAUAAAUUCUAUCUUACACAAUUCCCAUAAAAAUAUAUGUUGUGGGAUUAUGGUUACACUUAUACUUUUCAGGUAUAUUCCUAAUAGGAGAGACCCAUCAUUUUGACUAGGCAUCUACAAAAACUUAACUCUACCCCUGUCCCUUACAAUUUUUCAUGUUUAAUGUUUAGAAGAGUUUUCAACAGACCAUCUUCUGGCUCCAGAUAUUUCACCUUUUCUCUGCCACUACCCAAGUAUUUUUCUAUUUCUUUAAUUUUUUAAAUUAAACUUUUUUUAAGUAAAUCAUAGAUCCACAUGCAAUUGCAAGAAAUAACAUAGAGGGACCCAUUUCUUCCAUAUGGCAACGUCUGGCAAAACUAUUCUAUAACAUCGCAACCAGGAUAUUGAUGUUGAUACAGUCAAGAUUCAAAGUACCACCAUCACCACAAAGAUCCCUUAUGGUGUCCUUCUUCCCUCCUGCCAGACCCACUUCCCUCCUGCCCCCACCUCCUCUUUAACCCUGGCAACCACCAAUAUGUUCUCUAUUUCUAUGUUUUUAUUUUUUCAAAGAUUUUAUAUAAAUGAAAUCAUAUAAUGUGCAACUUUUGGUGACUGCCUAUUUUCAGUCACCGGAAUUUUCUGGAGCUUCAUCCAGGCUGCUGUGUAUGUGAAUAAUUUGUUCCUUUUAUUACUGAGUAGUAUUCCAUGGUAUGAAAAUACCGCCCAACUAUUUUUAUUGCCAAACUCUGUAGUUCACACUCAUAUCACAACAUGACCUCCAUCCCAGCACCUUCAUGACAUGAUGCCAAGUAAGUCAACUUAGUGGGCAAAAGGAAUGUUCCUUACAGAUAUUCAAAUUCAGUUUAGCAAUGCCUGAAUUAUAUUUGGAAGUUUUUAAACAUUCCAAACUUCAUCUCCAACUCAACUUUCUCUUAGUAAAAUGCAAAAGUUAAUUAAUUUUUAAAAGAAAGAAAAGAAAAAAUUAUGUUGCCACUCCAAUCCUGCCUGAUACGAAGGGAAGUAUGGCAGAGGGGAAUACAGCGUGGAAAGAGACAGUGGUCUCACACAAUUAUGGUUAAAAUAUUUUACACUUAUAAAUUGUAUAGCAGUCUGUGCUCAGAUGAAUACAUGGCUAGGGCCUCUUUUAGGAAUCUUGAAAGAGGUCAGAGGAAGCAUGGGACCUGGAGCAUAGGGCUCUUUAGAAUAAACCUGCUUCAACUUUCAAAUUGCCUAUAUGUUAACAGGAUCUCUCUUGUUAACUGGAGAAGCUGCCAUGCUUAUCUCACCAGGCACAAAAAUGCUUCCAGCCAAGUCUUCACAAUUGCCCUGAACAGGUAAAAUGAAAGAUACCCACACUUGAGGCUGAUGCCCCAGAAUACAAAUUAUUAAUGGGUACAAGACCUAUUAAUGACUUGAGUCUGUAGAGAGCACCCAGAAAAAGAAAGAGCUCUUGAUGUCUCACAUAAAGAGACGUUCUAAUUAUUGAACAUUUAGUGGCAGGGGUGAGGGAAGGGGAGUGUGGGAGGGCCCAGGUGGAAAGCAGAAAUUUUCCUCUACGACUCUCUAGCAACAGCAACUGCCAAUGACAACAGCAGCUAUGUGUUGAACAUUUGUUCUGUGCUAGUACUGUCAAUUCAUUUAAGUCAUAAAACAAUUCUUUGAGGCAAGUACUUUAUUAUGUCCAUGUUUAAAAGUCAGACUUAUUAAGGUAUAAUUUAUUUAUCCUUUUUACUGCAAGCCUCGAAAUCAGGUAGUGUAAUUUUGCUAGGUUUGUAAUUCUUUCUCAAAAUUAUUGGUCACUCUUGGCCUUUAGCUUUUCCAUAUAAAAUGUUAUAUCAUCUUAUGAGUUUUACUAAAAAGCCUUCUGAAAUUUUGACUAUUGUUGCAUUGAAUCUUUGAUGAAUUUGGGAAUAAGUGAUAUCCUAAAAAUAUUGAAUCUUCUUAACCAUGAAUAUAGUAUAUGUCUCCAUUUAUUUGGGUCUUUAAUUUGUCUCAGCAACAUUUUGACAUUUUUAUCAAACAAAUCUUACGGAUACAUUGUUAGAUGUAUAUCUAAACCUCUCAUGACUUUGAUAAUAUUUAAAUGAUAUUUCCAAUUUUCAAUUGUUUACUGCUAACAAUUGAUUUUUAUAUUGAUUUAUUUACUGUGACCUUGCUAACCUCAUUUUAUUAGUCCUAGUAGAUAUUUUUGUAAAUUCCUUGAGAUUUUCUUUAGAAAGAAUUAUCCUGUUUGUGAAUAAAGACACAUUCAUUUAUUUA